GAUGUCAGGAAUUAUGGAACUGUCAAACAUUCUUCUUGCACUGUUGGUAUUGGUGGUGGCUGUCUGCCUGGUGCGGUGGAUGAGAUCAUCCCUUGAUGGCUGGAAUGGCUACAUGCAGAACGCCGAUGAAGGGGAGGCCUUAGCGGAGCCUGGACACCAGGUUCAGGAGACAGAGGAGGGGAGACGGGGACCCACCCGACUGGUUGUGCAGUGAAUACCAUCUGCUGAAUUUAUAUGUGGGCGUGCUUUUCUAGGACUCUCAUGCUCGAAGUUUUCCAACACAGACUCAGACAACGUUCCGGACUGAAUAAAGCGUUAAUUUAGAUUUGACUUCCAAAAAA